AAAAGGCUCAGGAGGGCCAAGUGUGCUUCAAUCUGCUCUGAUCGGGUUCCUCUAGACUUUCAUCCAUCUUGCGCAUUUGGGUUUUUCGACUCCACUUUUGGAAACAUGUCCCAGUGUAAGCAAGCAUGCAAGGCACCCCCCGAGCCCUGCUGUCCAACCAAGUGCCCCCCUAAGAUGGAAGUGAAGUGCCCCCCCAAGACAGUUCAAUACUUCCCUCCGAAGACGGUGGUGAAAUGCCCUCCCAAGACCAAGCAACCUCCCAAAGGCUGCUGUUGAUGCUCCCUCCAGUGCCGUGAAAUGAAAAACCAGUUCAGCUUACAUUGCACGCAAGAUGUUGCUGACAUCCCAAAUUGGCCUGCCGUGCUGCACCCGUCUUUACUUUGGGAAACCUGAGUUCUGCACUGUUGUCCUAACAUUAGUUGUUUCUGAUGCCAUCUGGUGGAAGAGCAUCUCAUUGACUGGUUGAGUUCCUGCUUGGAAUAUCCUUCUCAGAAAGAUACGACUCCUCCACACAUGUUGUCGAACUUUCUUAGCCGGUUAAUUGUCUACUAGUGUUCCAGAUAACCCGCAUGUGUGGGUGCACGGCAAUAAAAUGAACCACUACCCACCAA